rnacentral:rRNA from 1 species
UACGUAGGGUGCGAGCGUUAAUCGGAAUUACUGGGCGUAAAGGGUGCGCAGGCGGUUAUAUAAGACAGAUGUGAAAUCCCCGGGCUCAACCUGGGAACUGCGUUUGUGACUGUAUGACUAGAGUACGGUAGAGAGGGGUGGAAUUCCUGGUGUAGCAGUGAAAUGCGUAGAUAUCAGGAGGAACAUCGAUGGCGAAGGCAGCCCCCUGGACCUGUACUGACGCUCAUGCACGAAAGCGUGGGGAGCAAACAGG